UAAAAUAAAAAUUAAUGAAUUAGAUUAAUAUAAUUAUUACUAAUAUUAUUAUUUUUAUAAUUAUUUAUUAUUUGAUUAAUUAAGCAUAUUAAUAAUUUUAAAUAAUUUGUUAGCAAUAAAUGAUUAAGGUAUAUUAGCUAAUUUACUUUAAAAAGGAAUUUUUCUGCUUUAGGAUUCUAUUUACUUUGAUUAUGAUAGUUGGUAGUGGUAACAGCCUACCAAGUCUACGAUCAAAAGCCAAGUUUGAUAGAACAUAUGGCCACAUUGGGAGUGAAAAUACCCCAAGUAAUGUAAAAUUACCUGCAGUCAAGAAUAUUAGUCAAUGCUCGCAAGAGUGAACUAGCUAACUGAAAUCUUAAAAUUUAAUUUAAGAUAAGGUAAGAGAAAAUAAUGAUAUUAUCUUACUAUUAGUGUCGUCUAAAUUUGGUGCCAGAAGACUCGGUAAGACCUUAGACGCAAACGUUAAUCGUCAUAAUCAGGCGUAAAGGGUGUGUAGGCGGCUUUAAAAAUAUAAUUAUUAUAUUAUAAUAAUAAAUUCUUAUAGCUAAAGAAAUUAUAUAAAAAUUAAAGCUAGAAUCUAAAAGAGGGUAAGCUAAACAACAUAAUUAAUUGGGACUGACAACUUAUAAUAAUGUGGAGUACUAAAGGUUAAAGCUAUUUAUCUACUUAAGAUUGACGCUCAGAAACGAAGGGGAGAAUAAGAAACUUAGAUUAGAUACCUAAUUAUCUCUCUCAGUCAACGAUGAAUGGUAGUUAUUAAAAAAAAUACAAUAAAAAUAUAUAAUUAUAUUUUAUUAUAUAGAGAUUAGUGACGAGGUUAACACGAUGACCAUUCCGCCUUGUUAGUAAGACUGCAAAGUUGAAAACAAAAAAAUUAGUCGGUCUUGAAGCAAACGAAGUGAAGCAUGUUAUUUAAUACGAUAAUCCGCGUAAAAUCUUACCAGUUCUUGUAUAUUCUUAUUAAUAUUUAUCUAAAUGAAUAAGUUAUUGAAAAGUAAUUUUCCAUCUCUUUUUAAAUUAAGUAAAUUAUUGUAAGAAUACAGGUGUUGCAUGGCUGUCGUCAGUCCGUGUCGUGAGAAGUUUGGUUAAAUCCGUAAACGGACGAAAUCCCUAGUAUUAAUUUAUACAUAAUACAUAAUAGUGUUGAUAAGAUGCUAGUUGGGGCUAAGACAAGUCAUUAUGGCCCUCAUGAACUGGGCUAUAGACGUGCCACAAAAACUUUUACAAAGUGAUGCGAUUCUGUCCCUAAAUAUUUUUUCUAUAAUAUUUAUUUAUCUGGAAACAAUUAAGGAGUAAGGAGGAGCUAAUCAUUAAAGAAAGUUAACUAUUAAAUUAGUUGAAUUGUCAUCUGAAACUCGGUGACAUGAAAAAGGAAUUUCGAGUAAUCGUUGAUCAUUACGCAACGGUGAAUUAAGCAUUCAGGAUGAACUAACCGUCUGUCGCUGGGAAGGAGCUUGAUUUUUAGGAAGAUGUGCAUUGUUCUUAUGUUCUUA
rnacentral:rRNA from 1 species